UGAUUGUUUCCCCUAAAGUUCAUAAUAAUCUUGCAGGGUUUCUUAAUUUUUUUUCUGUAUUUAUCAGUUUAACUCCAAAUCUUUCAUCAAUUUUGCAAAUCUUCUCUUGAGAUGUUGAAACAUAGCAGGAAUUCUCUCAAUGGAACCUUUCUGAAGAAACCUCUUCUAGGGGUGCCCGGGUGGCUCAGUGGGUUGGGCCUCUGCCUUUGGCACCGGUCAUGAUCUCAGCGUCCUUGGAUUGAGCCCUGCAUCCGGCUCUCUGCUCAGCGUGGAGCCUGCUUCUUCCUCUCCCUCUGCCUGCCUCUCUUCCUACUUGUAAUCUCUCUCUGUCAAACAAAUAAAUAAAAUCUUAAAAAUAAAUAAUAAAUAAAAAUAAAUUAAAAAAAAAAAAGAAACCUCUUCUAGAACCUUCUGUGGGAUCCAGCUUGGACUGUUGGAGCUCCUUAGCUGGUAAAUUGCUGCCCCCCUAGGACCUCCCUUUACCAUCACCUUGAGAAUUCCCUUUACCUCACUCCUGUGUCUCUCCUAUUCUCUACCUUCCUCUUUGUGGUUGGUCCUGUUUAUUUAUUUAUCCUGACAGUUGACUAGAGUGUGAGAAUCGGAAUUUUGAAAGCUUCUGGCAGAUGAGAAAUUGAUGGCAUUUGUUUUAUUGAUUCUCUCUCUCUCUGCUCCCCCAACCUCCCACCGACCCCUGCUUUUUUUCUCAGUUUAUAGGUGCCUCAGUUUUCCCCAGCACAUUGAUAUUUUAUAAUGACAUGUCUUGCAUCUAUUGUAAUCCACUUUAUUUUGUUGCCAGGCAUACAAUGAACUCAAACUCGGAUCCUUCAAAUCCAGUAUACUCACUUGAAUUGUCCCUUACGUCCAACCUCCAUUUUGUCUCAUCUCUCUUCCGGAAUGCCUAUGAUUCAGACAUCACUUCCUGUACUACAUCAGAAGCUCUGCUCAGAUGCCUGGUUAUCCUUGACUACCUCUCACAUUGAAGAAUGGGGGCCAAAUCCUCCAAACACAAGGGGUUGGUGGUUGUUGAGAUCUGGGAAUCUGACUACUUCAAAAACCAACUUUCAACCAGUCCUCAUCUUAGCCUUUCUGAUGCUCCCUCCCCUGCAAGUUCCAGACAGUACCCACCUCUGAGCUGCGGGUCCCACGUACACGGAGUUGGAUUUUUUCUGCCAAGUCAUCAGUUCUCUCGUCCAUCUGCUUUCCAGUUCAUAAAACUCACUGUGGAUAAGGAAUCAUCAGAGCAUCUCUAGUACCUGACACAUAUGCGGCAUACAGACAUCAGUCUCAGAAAUACCAGUUUCAGAAAGCUUUAAUUUGCAGAUGUAAAUUAAACAGGAAAAGCGGAAUUAUUGUCUUAAGACAAGUUACCAACAAAAGUCUUUAAAAGUUCUUUUUCAAAGAAUUUAACAUGAACUUAAAAAUUUCCUCUCUCAAGAGCUUCAGAGGUCAUCCUUGAUAAGAAGUCAGAUAAAAUACCCAACUGCAGGAUACUCCAACACCAUGCUUCUGUGAAAAUACAACAGCUUUGUCUCAUUUUUAUAAAGAAAUUAAAACUAGAUUAACAGAAAAUUAACUUGGUCAGGCCUCUUUUUUAUUGUUCAAGCCAAGUGAAACAUGAAAAGUAACAAAUUAAAUCCUAUACUAAAUUCUAUGAUUCUAUGAUAUGAAUAGUGGAAAAGAGGCUGAACUUUUUCAAAUACUUCCAGCAAUAAUUUUGUAAUUCCUGGUUAUAAGCAUUUGGAAGAUAUUACAUUCAAAUUUCUGUACUGAAUCAUUCCCCAUUAAUACUAAAUUUAAUUUUAGUUAUUCAAAAAGGAGUGUAGUUUAUAGAGAAUUAUAGAGAAAACUUUGGGUCAAAUAAAAUUUACCUGAUAUAAAUAUCCACCUCAAAUGUACUUUUCUCCAACUUACUAUGGAAUUUAUGAAAAUAUCAUAUGUAUGGCCAUUUGCUUCCUAAAAAGAUUUGAGGUAGAGUUCAAUAGAUAGCCAGUUACACAGGAUAAAUAUAAGAUAAUACAAAGGCUGUAGACAGAAUGGUGCUUAUAUAUUUUGAGUCCAAGAUGAGGUUUUG
ensembl:lincRNA